UUUGGAAACAGGUGCUAAUACCGGAUAAGAAAGCGGAUCGCAUGAUCAGCUUUUAAAAGGCGGCGUAAGCUGUCGCUAUGGGAUGGCCCCGCGGUGCAUUAGCUAGUUGGUAAGGUAAAGGCUUACCAAGGCGAUGAUGCAUAGCCGAGUUGAGAGACUGAUCGGCCACAUUGGGACUGAGACACGGCCCAAACUCCUACGGGAGGCAGCAGGC
rnacentral:rRNA from 1 species